rnacentral:lncRNA from 1 species
AUGGAGAUCCCACUUUAUCCACCCCCACAACUCGAGCCUGUUGGAACAAAGGUGCUUUGUCGCCCUAUCUUAACUAUUUCAUCACUUCUGAAGGUAAAACUGUGGGUUUUGCCACCUGUCAUGAGCAGAAUAAAAGUUCCACCAGGUACUGCCGUAACCAAAUGGAUUCUGGAUGACUGAAAGCUCAACCAAGAGCACUACAGGUUGUAUGUAUAAAGAGUCGUUCAUUGAAUAAUUCUUGAGAAGUUAAAGUUUAUAAUGAAGAUGUAUGAAAAGAAGGAGACUUGGAAAUGAAGAAAAGAAUUGGAAUAGAAUAAGGUCAAGAGAAGAAUAUAAUACAGAAGAAUACAGGCAGAAAACAAAAUAAGA